UUUAGACUACUUUAGGUUCGGUGUCUAUGAUUAUGCACAAACAGAGCUGAUUACUUGUCAUCUGAUGCGGCUUUGCUGGGAUGAUCCAACCAAAUGUUGUCCAAACUCCCGUUAAUCCCACAAAAUCUGAAAGACAAACUUGCUGAAGUUGCUCUGAACGUCUUGGCAUCGUAUGACAGGCCAGAAAGACUGCGGAAGGACCAUCGCUCUUUGAAGGCCACAGUAGGAAGCAUAUCCUCCUCGUCCCUCAGCUCCAGCUUUGGCAUUUUUCCUGGAUCUGGUUGCCUGAUUACAGACUUUACGUUUUCACAAGGCAAGUUGUCCUUCACUGAUGCAGCUUUCUAAAGGGGACAAAAAGUGAGCAGGGCCCUUUUGAUGAAGCUUGAACAAAGCACCUGCCAGUUAUAGUCUUACCUUGUCAUCAGAGUCUGUCUGUCUUGUUCUUUUCAUGAUUUCUUCCAGGCGCUGAUUUGGGAAAAAUUUAAAUCACAAUAUACAUUAGGGUUGGUAAGAUUUUCA
rnacentral:lncRNA from 1 species